UGAGAUAUUGGACGUCACUGGUGAUGAUGAAAGUCAUCAAAAUAAAAAUACAAGUGGACAAAACUAGGACUAUUCUCGUCCAGACAGAACAUAACAGAAGCAGCGAGGUUACAAAAGCACAAUUCCUUUCCUGUCUUUUAAAGACUUUGACCGUUGACCACGUUGACUUGGAAACCCCUUACGGCUUACGCACGGGUGGAGUGGUUUGGUUUAGUUCAUAACUUCAUUCCUUCCCUCCUAUCUUCUUCUUAUUUUUACUUAACAAAU
rnacentral:lncRNA from 1 species